rnacentral:lncRNA from 1 species
UGGCUCCUGAGUGUGGCUCUGGAGUGCCUCUGCUACUGACAACUGCUCAGUAUCUGAGUGUUGGAGAGAUAAAACAGGCUCUAGAAGAGAAAGUGAACCAGGAUGGAAUCUACAACCCUGGCAAACUGAGUAUUGGCUUCUCUCACUGACCACUGAGGGGAUAAUUUAUCAAAGAUGUCACCCAAUGAUAAAAGCAGCCCUAAAAUGCUUUCUUUAAAAAAUGUGUCCUCUGAGAACAUUUAGGUUUUGCCUCUAGACUCUGGUU